AUGGAGCGCCCGGCGGCGGGCGCCUCCUACCAGCGGUUCCCGCGCGUGCGGAUCCGCGAGCUGAGGGACGAGUACGCCAAGUUCGAGCUCCGGGACACCGACGCGAGCGUGGCCAACGCCCUCCGCCGCGUCAUGAUCGCCGAGGUCCCCACCGUCGCCAUCGACCUCGUCGAGAUCGAGGCCAACUCCUCCGUCCUCACCGACGAGUUCAUCGCGCACCGCCUCGGCCUCAUCCCGCUCACCUCCUCCGCCGCCAUGGCCAUGCGCCUCUCCCGCGACUGCGACGCCUGCGACGGGGACGGCUCCUGCGAGUACUGCUCCGUCGAGUUCCACCUGGCCGCCCGCGCCACUGACUCCGGCCAGACGCUCGAGGUCACCGCCAUGGACCUCCGCUCUACCGACCCCAAGGUCUGCCCUGUCGACCAGGCCGAUGCUGCCGGUGACCACAGGGGCAUAUUAAUUGUAAAGCUGCGUUGUGGGCAAGAGCUACGUCUCCGAGCAAUUGCUAGGAAGGGAAUUGGAAAGGACCAUGCCAAAUGGUCUCCAGCUGCUACUGUGACCUUCAUGUAUGAGCCUGAUAUAUGUAUUAAUGAAGAGCUUAUGGAGACACUUACACUUGAGGAAAAACAAAGCUGGGUGGAGAGCAGCCCUACAAAAGUAUUUGACAUUGAUCCUGUCACCCAACAGGUGACGAUUGUGGAUCUGGAGGCAUACACAUACGACGAUGAGGUGAUCAAGAAAGCCGAGGCCAUGGGGAAGCCAGGACUGGUGGAGAUCAACGCCAAGGAGGACAGCUUUGUGUUCACCGUGGAAACGACCGGCGCCAUCACAGCCUAUGAGUUGAUCAUGAAUGCUAUCACGAUCCUGAGGCAGAAGCUGGACGCCAUUCGCCUACAAGAUGAUGAUGGCGAUCUUGCUGAGCUCGACGCCCACCUUGUUGGAGGCUAA
rnacentral:rRNA from 1 species